AUGCUCUGGGACGAUAGUUAUGUCAGCAUCUCCAAUGUUGUCACCUCGGAGUUCUGCCUUUCGGCGGACGUUUCCGUCCUGAACUCCGACCCCCGCUUCAAGAUAAUUACGGUCUAUGGGCCUACCGCGCACUCCAGAAAAGAUGAUUUCUUUGCGGAGCUCCUUGCCCCAAAACCACCGGCUGGCCAUAUGUGGCUGGCCUUGGGGGAUUUCAACCAAAUCUACCGUGCGCGCGACAAGAACAAGCGUAACAUAAAUCGUAGCCGCAUCAACCGCUUCCGUGCCACCCUCCAGGCGUGUGAGCUAAAAGAAUUACAUCUUCAAAACAGAAGAUUCACCUGGAGCAAUGAGCGGGUGAACUCCACGCUUUGCAAGCUUGACUCCUACUUCUGCAAUGCCGACCGGGACAUUCAGUUUGACACCCAUGUGCUACAUGCGCUCUCCUCCUCGCUCUCUGACCACUGCCCUUUACUCCUCGCCGACGAUCGAGGGCCUCGUAGGCCUCGGAGCUUCAAAUUUGAGAACUUUUGGUGUUCCAUCCCGGGUUUCUCCGAGGUUGUCGAGAAUGCUUGGGCUGCGCACACUGGCCAUUCUGAGCCCUACCAAAUCCUUUUUCACAUGCUCAAGAGAGUUGGCAUGAGAUUGGCAGAGUGGAGUAGAAGUUUGUUUUCCAAGCCCAAGUUGCACCUACAUGCUGCGUUGUUGGUUAUCCUUAGGCUCGAUGUUGCUCAAGAGUCACGGACUUUAUCUGCUGAGGAGAUGGACCUAAGAGCAAGAUUAAAAAGAAGGGUCAUUAGCUUGGCGGUUCUUGAGCGCACAAGAAAGAAGCAAUGUGCCCGCUCAAGCAAUCUCAAGGCGGGAGAUGCUAAUACCAAAUACUUUCACCUUAGGGUGAAUGCGAGAAGGAGGAAAAACCAUAUUCAUCGCCUCAAACACAACAACGGUUGGGUUACGAACCACGAGCAAAAAGAGAAAAUCAUUCAUGACCACUUCACCGAGGCCAUUGGAAGAGGGGGCCCUCGAACCAUGGACUUCAACUGGCAGAACCUCGAAUUUGAGGAAAUAGAUCUUCAUGGCCUUGAUGACCCUUUCACCACAGAAGAGGUGUGGAAUGCCAUCAAACAAAUGCCUAGUGACAAAGCCCCCGGCCCGGAUGGUUUUACAGGGGCAUUCUUCAAAAAAUCUUGGCAUAUCAUCAAAAUUGAUGUCAUGCGUGUCAUCGAUCUGUUUGGAAAUCUUCACGUGGGAAACCUCCAUUGGUUAAACUCCGCAAAUGUCAUCUUGCUGCCCAAAAAGGAUGGGGCGGAAGGAAUCACCGACUAUAGGCCCAUUAGCCUCAUCCACGCCAUUGCCAAGAUUAUUGCUAAAGUGCUUGCCCUACGACUCGCCCCCCUCAUGAACAACCUUGUCUCGCAUGCCCAAAGCGCAUUCAUUAAGAGACGAAGUAUCCACGAUAACUUCAUGUAUGUGCGAAAUCUCGCGCGACGGCUUCACAAGAGCAAGACUCCUUCCCUCCUCUUCAAGCUUGACAUAUGCAAAGCGUUCGACUCUGUGCGGUGGGAAUACAUCCUCGACCUCCUUCAAAGGAGAGGCUUCCCAAGCAAGUUUAGGGAGUGGAUCACCGCUCUUCUUAAGACAUCUUCCUCGAGAAUCCUUCUAAAUGGGAUACCCGGCAAUGCCAUCAAACACGGGAAGGGCUUUCGACAAGGAGAUCCGCUAUCUCCUCUCCUCUUUGUCAUUGCCAUUGAUCCUCUCCAACAAGUUCUUAAUGUGGCCACUCGCUGCGGGAUUCUUCACAAGAUCAGAGGGCGUGGCACUUGCUUCCGGACCUCCCUUUAUGCGGACGACGCGGCUGUUUUUGUCAAGCCUUUAAAGGAGGAUGUUUUGAACCUUGCAACCAUCCUGGAUUGCUUUGGUCGGGCCACGGGAUUAUGCACAAACUUCCAGAAAAGCUCUGUCGUCCCCAUAAGAUGUGGGAGCUUGAACUUGGACGAGAUCCUUCAUGAGCUUCCGGCCUCCCGAGCCUCUUUCCCAGUGAAGUACUUGGGCCUUCCUCUCUCCGUGUGGCAGCUCAAGAGGGUUGACUGCCAAUACCUUGAGGACAAGGUCGCAGGCAACCUUGUCUCUUGGGAAGGUGGGAAUAUCACCACAAAGGGUCGGUGCGUUCUUGUCAAAUCAGUGCUCACCUCGCAGGUGAUAUUUCACGCCACUUCCCUCACCAUCCCGCCCGGCACGCUUGCUAGCAUCAACAAGAUCGAGAGAGCUUUCCUCUGGUCUGGGACGGACAAGACGACCGGAGCCAAGUGCAAGGUCAAUUGGGAGACAGUGUGCCGCCCCAAGGAUCUAGGGGGCCUUGGUGUGCUUCAUCUUGGGAAAUUUUCCCGUGCACUAAGAUUACGAUGGCCUUGGUAUGAAUGGAAUGACUCCCAUCGGAUGUGGGUGGGAAUGGGAAAUCCCUGUGACGAGGACGACAUGGACCUCUUCUAUGCUUCGACCACCAUCACUAUUGGCAAUGGGGCUAUUGCGCCUUUUUCGGACUCCCAUUGGUUAUUUGGUAGGAAACCAAAAGAUGUGGCUCCACUCAUCUUUGAGUGCUCUACGAGGAAAAAUUGGAAGGUGCGCAAAGCCUUACUCGAGGGCGCGUGGAUUGACAAAGUCAAAAUUUCGACCUCCUUUUCACUCUAG
rnacentral:rRNA from 1 species